UCUAUACAGCAAUAGAAAGCUCUUGAGAAAUACAGAAUUUCAGUAAUGGGCAAUAGUAUAAGGGUCAGCAUGGCCUGUGGAUUCUGAGUAAACCUGAAUUUCAAGCAACUUUUUUUUUUUCUCCCCUUUUUUUUUUUGCAGUAACCUGCUGAGCUGAAAAGGAAAAGGAGGAUACCGAACAGCAAGGACUUCUCUCUGGAGAGCAGCUAAGUUCUAAAUCAAUCCAAUGGUGUUCUUGAAAUAUCAGUGAAUGUUUCCAAGCAUUAUAUUAAAAUUUCAUGAUCAGUAGUGCUGAAAGCUGCCCUGCACACAAGCUGAAAUAAGUGCUGACAAUUCACUAGUAUAUGAAUUUAAUAAAAUGUUGUUCACCAGUGUUAGCUGCAAUGCACUGUCCGGAUUAUCCUCUUGAUUAGAAAUUACCUGUCAAAACAGUCCCUUUUUGUUAGGUGAGUGUAGAUCAGAGACAGUAUUGCUUGCCCUCUUGUGUAUUAACUGCCAGAAAUAGGUGGCUGCUUAUCCAAACUUAAUCUAGCUGCUAAAGAAUGUAGUCUUUUUCCUUUCUGUAAGCAUAUUAUGAUCUGCAUCAAAGGAAUGCCUGCAGGCCCAGCUGAGUUCAGGACUCCACAAAUCCAGUCAGAUGCAGUUCCUGCCCCAAAGACUUAAACUGUAAAUAGAGAAGAGCCAAGCAUGUCAGACACUUUCAAAUCCUAAAUACAUAUAAGGGAUUUUGAAAGCAACUUCUUUUCCAUGUCUUACAACUACUUGGCUGUCUGUGUGAUGCUACAGGAUGGUCUUACUAGCUUUUGUUGAAGCUCUUCCAUUUGUGAAUGAUUCAGCAUUCAACAGAGGGCAGGAUUCUUUGGGGAUGGGAUCUUUCCUGGGGGAUGAGUUGAUGGUGAGGCACUAGAACAGUCUGUCUAGAGAAGCUUUGGAUCUCCCAUAUCUGGAGAUGUUCAAGGCCAGGUUGGUUGGGGCCCUAGGCAGCCUGAUCCAAGGGGUGGCACUCCUGCCCAAAGCAAGGAGGUUUGGAACUUUAAGAUCCCUUCCAAUCCAAGCCAUUCUACAAUGUGUAAUUCUCCUUGCUCCAGGAAUUGCUUCCAGGAAUGUAAAUAUACUAUUUGUUUUAGUUGAUAAUUGGGUGCAUGUUAUGGAACAACUUCAGGAACAAUGAAUGAGAGCCUUCUCUCACAUCCCCUCAUCUUGGGGUGUCCUCUCCUAGGUUGUGGGAAAACUGGAUUUACAUCACUGCUUAAUCUUAAAAUAACAAAUGAAAAAUUAGGGGACAGAUGGGGCAUACCAACACUUCUGUCUUCAUAAAUGUAACGCUCUUGUCUUCUCUGAGGCAUUUCAUAUUUAAUGCUAUGUAAGAGGCUUUCAGUAAUUCUGCAGCCGCUGGAAAUUUCUGAAUGGUAUUGCCUUGAGGAGACCUCAGGGUCAUGCACUACUUUGCAAGCUGGCUAUCCAGAAUUGCUUGCUCUGGAAAAUCCUGGAUGUGUCUCAUAACUGUGUCAGAGGAACAAAGGACAAAGCCAUCGACCUGGAGCACAUCACUAAACAGGAGCUGAAUUACUGCUUUCUGUUAGACACCGAAUGAUUGUCACUGGGACUACAUCCAGCUACCUGUGAGGGAUCUCCAGGAAGCCUGACACAGGAACUUUUGCAUUAGUGAAAAUGAAGUGCUCUGUUGAAGGCAUUACUUUCAGGAGACUGAAGGGAAAGGAGGGAUUCAAUGUCAUUUCACUUCCUGAAGCACAGUCUGGAGAGCGCACCUGAAGAACUGCAAGUGUUAGAUGCUCCCACAGAGCAAAGGCAUACGCCACUGGAAAAGCCCUCCUCGUGCUGACAAGCAGAUAAAAAUUUUCUAGAUGCCUCAGUUCUGGCCUGUGGAAUAAGACAACAGGGAAGGAUACAAGAAAGAAUGAAGCAGCAGCACAGGUACCACAAUCACUGAAUUAUUGUUCUAGCAAAUUUCUGCAUGAGAAACUGCCAUACUUCCAGGCUGCUCUGACUGCUCUCCCAGAAGUCACAAACUUUGUACAACUGCACAGAGAAGAACUGAAAAGAUGACAAGAAUUGAGUAAUUCUCUGUGUUUCUGAAUUAAACGCUUUUUAACCCCUCCAGCAGCAAGAAAACUCACGAUUGUAUUCUCUGUCUUCUUCCUUCUUGACUGUUAACAGAUCACAAGGCACUACAAAUUAUUACAACUUUCUUCCUCACCUUUCAUAGAAUCACUAUGGUUAGAAAAGACCUCUAAGAUCGUCCAGACCAACCACCAACCCAUCCCCACCAUGCUCCUCAAUGCUGCAUCCGCACGGUUCUUGUACACCCCCAAGGACGGUGACUCCACCACCCCCCUGGGCAGCCUGUGCCACUGCAUCACCACUCUGCCUGAGAAGUUUUUCCUAAUACUCAACCUGAACCUCCCCCUUUCACAGCUGGACCAGAAAUUUUCCAGCAGACAGCUCACACUGAAAGUUAAAUACACAAGAAUAUCCAAAUUAACAGAGACACUUGCAAUAAAGAUCUUAUUAAGAUGUCAACAUUGUUUACGGAUUACGGAACAACUUAGAGAACCUCAAGAACUUUGUACUCCCUCUUUCUGAUCAGUGCUUGGUUGUUGCUUGGGGGAUGCAGGGAAUACACGUUUAAGACCUGCAAACUUAGAGACAACUGUUAGUGCCUAAAGAACUGAAGUCACUGAUGGCUAGACCACAGCAAGAAGGAAGCAGUGACGUGAACUGAGAGGAAUUCAGGACUCACAGACAGAUGGAGCUGUUUCCCACCUGUAGGGCUAAAUCUGGCAUAGACGACAGCCCGCAUUGAGCUGGCACUGAGCUGAGCUCCUGCCUGGUUGUGGGAAUACCCUGCUUUCAGUCUUGGGUGAAGCUGAUCUGUGAGUCCAGUCCUGGAAGUUAAGAGGUCUCUUACGCCCCACAGUGUGAAAGAAUUGGUGGGUACAUGGGUAGGAGUGGCUUCCCUGGGUAGUCAAAGCAGCCAGCUCAAAAAAACUGAGCAAUCAUGCCGAUAAACAAAAUAGAUCACUGGUUAAAAUAAAUAAUAGAAAAAAAAAAAAGAAGCAGGAAUAAAUGGAGAAGGUUACUGCUAGUGUUCCUCUAAAGCAGAUUUGGGGCAACCUGUUGAGAUAAUUUACUGAUAAGGUGUCAUGCAUAACAAGGUAACGGUUUGUCUACAUUCCCACAUUACUCAAGGUUUUAAAGUGGAAGUUCACUGUGAAUAGCUGCAGAAAGAUCUGCCAGAAACUGCCAGAUAAAAUGGAAGAUAAAGUUCAAGGUCAAUAAAUGCAAAACAAAUCAUAGAUAAAAAUGGCAGUAAUUGUGCACGCUCAGUGGUACACUAAAUUAGAUAAACUUUCCU